GACGGGGCCCGCACAAGCGGUGGAGCAUGUGGUUUAAUUCGACGCAACGCGAAGAACCUUACCAGGGCUUGACAUCCCCUGACCGCGUAUGAAAGUACGUUUUCACCCUCGGGUGACAGGGAGACAGGUGGUGCAUGGUUGUCGUCAGCUCGUGUCGUGAGAUGUUGGGUUAAGUCCCGCAACGAGCGCAACCCCUACGUUUAGUUGCUAACGCGUGAAGGCGAGCACUCUAGACGAACUGCCGUUGACAAAACGGAGGAAGGUGGGGAUGACGUCAAAUCAUCAUGCCCCUUAUGUUCUGGGCUACACACGUGCUACAAUGGCCGGUACAGACGGACGCAAAGCCGCGAGGUGGAGCAAAUCCUAAAAAGCCGGUCUCAGUUCGGAUUGCAGGCUGCAAUUCGCCUGCAUGAAGUCGGAAUCGCUAGUAAUCGCAGGUCAGCAUACUGCGGUGAAUACGUUCCCGGGCCUU
rnacentral:rRNA from 1 species